AAAAAGACCGCUCGGAUUUAAAAUAAAAAACAGUAAAGGCAAGAAAAAAAAAAGACAAGAGAUCUAGAACGGUCUCUUAAUCGACAAAGGAUGAGAUGAAGAGAAAUUGUUGUCGAUGUUGAAAAUCAAUGAUGUACGACUCAGAUUUAGUAAAGAGGAUAUCAGAAUCUCGAAAUAUUAAGGUAUACCAUCGUUUACUCAUCCGCAAUUUGUUUUCUUCUAUAUGUAAUAGAAAGAGUCCUAAUCGAGUUAUUUGUUGACAAAUCCUAACAUGCAGGUGGAUAUUAGAUCUGAAAUAUUAUUAAAGAGAACAGAUGAACACCAUCACUGUUCACCUCUUGGAGAUGUCGAACAUCUGAAGAAACCAGGAACAUAAGAUAUCGUUUACCGCUUUGAGAGGGACAACACGAUAAAUCUAAGCCU